UGAAUUUGGUGGGGGGGGGGGGGGGGGGGUAAAUCCAGCCCCAUCAUGGGUCAUUUUGCCUGCUGGUUACAGGCUGUCCCCUCUGUCAGCCUGCAGGUACAAAUAUCUGUACUUUGUAUUAACUUUCCCCAUAAGAGUGGCUGGUAUAUCAACCUGCCUGUACAAUGUUAUAUGCGGCAUAAAGCAUACAAACUGGUAAUAUGCCUACGAGUAUUUUGGAGCUGCUGAGCACCUUGUGGGAAUAGCAGAGGUGCAGCUGGCAGCCUCCCUAAAGGCUUGAUUGCACUUACUUUAAAUGUGUAAACUGUAUUUGUAUUCAGGCUUGUGUCAGUGUCACACAUCAACUUCACCGUAUCUGCCAGGGCCCCCUUGGCUGUGGCUGGAAGCACAGUGAACCUGGAAACUCUCUUGGGGGUGACAUCCGAUUAAGGCGAGGGCUGUGAUGUGUGUGUGUGGCUGUGCUGAUUAGAACCUGUAUUAUUACUCAGAGCUGAGCUGAAGUAAGCAAUAAGAAGCAUAAUACUGCUCACCAAUAGCAGGAAAUCAUGGCAGUCGAUUCCUGUAGGAUAGUCUGCCAGCUCAGUUACCAGUUCUGUACCAUCCCUGUGGAGCAGGAGCCAGACCAAGGCUUUCAGUGGCUGGAACAACACAGAGACAGACUGUUUCAUUCUCUGCAGAUUUUGAGUCUCCCUUUUUAUUCAUGUCCACACGCUGCCUCAUUCUCACUAAUACAGCUGUACCUACCAAUUUACAGUAAAACCUCGGAUUGCGAGCAUAAUUUGUUCCGGAAACAUGCUUGUGAUCCAAAGCACUCGUAUAUCAAAGCGAAUUUUCCUAUUAGAAAUAAUGGAAACUCAGAUCAUUUGUUCUACAACCCAAAAUAUUCAUAAACAAAUGAUUAAUACAAAUAUAAAGUAAAAAUACAUAAAAACAAAUUAACGUGCACUUUACCUUUGAAAAGAAUUGUGGAUGGUGUGAGGGAGACGAGAGAGGAGAAGAGGAGCGUAAUUUUGUAGGACGGCCAUGCAGACUGUUGUCUGCGGCAGUUCUGACUGGCAUGCAGUUGCAGAUGGUUUCCAUUAUCUGAAGCCUGCGCUCAUUGCCAGCAUGUUGUAUGGCCCACAUAUGAGUCUGAUGGAGGGGGGAGGGCUCAGUCACUGCACUCACUGGCCGAGGUAAUUAGUUGCCCAUCGCUGUUCUAAUGACAGAAGAUAUAUGUACGUCUUAAGUUCAUUGUCCCUGCAGCAAUCGUAGACUAUGCAGCCACCCACGCAAAAAGGUCAAAAUAGCCGGUCGGGAUGCACUUGGAGUCGAGAUGUACGGUCAACUGGCACUAGCCAGAAAAUAUCUGAGCAUCGGUAUGACGUCUGUACCUAAUUAAUGGAUAUUUUCUAAGAGUGGCCAGCUAAUAGCCGGCUGUCAGCUGAGAAAUACAAAUGAUCAUGUUUCUUAACAAGAACCACGGUCUUUGUUCAAAACUGUAUGAUAAAUAGCUAAUAGCAGCUUGACAGCACAUUGACUUCUGAGUUAACUGACUGCAUGAAAAGCCAAUAUCAAUAACGUAACUGUUAGAAUAGACCUACUGCAUAAAUACUCAUAAUAGAAAUUACAACAUUCAGAUUUUUCUUUCUUAUAAUCUUUAUUCACUUGGCUAUAUUUUUUAUAUAGGCUCUCAAUUUUAAGAAAGCAAUCAUGAUUGCAGUUCUUACAACCAGCAAUAGCAUCAUGUGUCAAAUUACCCACACUAAUGCGACACUGCUAAGCGCUGUAGGCUUACGAACUAUGGUACAGUAUAGGUAGCAGCAUUAAUUAUUGUAUGCAUAGCCAACCUAAGUAGUAAUGAGUAUUGGGUAACAAGUGUUAAGUGACGAAUACUGGACUGCCGAGUACUCAGUACUAACGAUUACUCAAAAGUAACAGAUAACCACAUCACUAGCUCACUGGAAUCUUUUUGUUUUUGUGCGACUUUAACAAGGAACCUGUCCAAUGACAGCUGCUUUUACCUCCUUUAUGAUUUUUUGGAAAUGUGGACAUUGCAUUAUCGUUAAACAGCUUCAUCGCUCGUCGGGUGGUGCUUUUCUACUAAGUUUUGACUAUACGAGUGAGGCACACAGACCGAGACCAAGCUUUGGAAAUGAUUACCCACAAUCCCGCAGCAAGAGAGGGAGAGAGAACUAUCAGUUCAGUUCUGAUUACGUGACGCUCGGCAGACAAAGCGUAUACAUAAUACUCGUAUUGCAAGACCUCGCUCGUUUAUCAAGUUAAAAUGUACCAAAAAAAAUUUGCUCAUAUUGCAGAACACUCGCAAACCAAGUUACUCGCACUCCGAGGUUUGACUGUAUUUUAGGAAAACACUCAUCCACAACCUAGAGAGAGUGUAAAACUUCUACCUCGAAAAAAACCAGAAAACUCCAAACAAGAGUUUAUUUGUACAUCUGCUGAGAGGAAAUUGGGUGUAUUAAAGCCAUAUUAGUUGCCUGUUCAUCUAUGUUGUUUCCUUUUUGUGUUUGGAAACUACAAAGCCUUUUACACAGUACAUCUUCAGUCAGAGACUUUUACUUUAUAUGGUGACCAAAAGUUUCCAUUGAAAGAAACAGAAGAAUAUUGUGUUACUGGAAUAUACGAUUAAACUGAAUAUUUACAUGGAGCCUAAGGGUGACAGAAUGACUCAGAACACACCGGCUAAAGGGACAUACUAGAAUUGGGGGCGAGGACUUUGACUGAAGUGGAGAUGUGAGGUCUUAGUCGCUCUCUGUAGAGUAUGUAACACCAAGAUCUUGCAUUGGUUUUUUUAGGAGUGGGUGAGGCUUGUCUCGGCACAUCUCAGGUGGAGGUAUCCCAGGAUAUUUUAAAAGAAAAAUCAUGUAAAAAGAUGUUGGGAGGAGGGGUGUUGUGCUUCAAAAAUGUUGGAUUCUGACCAGAAUGACCAGAGGUGGCGCAAACUGGGAUUGGUUCCUAUUAUGCUGCACUGCCAGCAACAGCCAGCUCUGCAACACCAAACUCCCUCCCCCAGCCCAGCACAUAAGUCCGCCCCCACCAUACCCCUUCCCCCAACCCAGCAUGCAGCUCCACCCCUACCGUACCCACCUCCAGCAUGCAGCCCACCCCUCACUGUACCCUCUCCCCCAGCCCAGCACUCAAGCCUGCUCCCACCAUACCGGUCUCCCCCAGCCCAGCACGCAGCUCCACCCUCACUGUACCCCUUCCCCCAUCGCUACUCAUAGCUCCACCCCAACUAUAUCCCUAUUUCCACCCCGGAAUAGAGCCCCGCCCCACCCAUGUGUGUGAUUUGACAACUUACCUUUUGUCUGUCUUACAUAUAUUUGAAUUAUAGUUUAAAUAUUGAAAAUGUAAAUUUUUUUUAAAUGUUUCUUACCUCAUCUUUUCUAUGAUCUCAGUAAAUGACGCGACACUGUGUAUUGGUUACAUUUCGAGUCCUGCAAUGGUUUCGAUGUGAAGGUGCUGAUGGGUCCUUUUAAGAACAGGACAGCGUGUUCAGUGUGUAGCUGGCAGGAAGAACAAAGACGCACUGCAGAGUGUAGCUGAGACUUUGGAGGGUGCAUGCAGUGGAUUAGGGAGGGGGCCCUGUUUCCGUCAUAGGGAACCCUUAUCAUUGCAGAAAACUGUGCUCCUGUGACCAGUAAAGAAGAUGGAUGAAAGCCCUGGAAAAGGCAGAGAUGAUGAUGCAGGAUGUAAGUGGUUUGCUGUACAUCAUGAUGGAAGCACCUGUGUGGUGAGGCAUAAGCGGUGAAGCAAAAAGGUGUGAGCGGAGAGGGUCUGCGUGGGCCAGAGUACUGCUUUUCGGAGCAAGUGUUAAAAGGUGUGAGCGGAGAGGGUCUGCGUGGGCCAGAGGACCGCUUUUCGGAGCAAGUGUUAAAAGGUGUGAGCGGAGAGGGUCUGCGUGGGCCAGAGGACUGCUUUUUGGAGCAAGUGUUAAAAGGUGUGAGUGGAGAGGGUCUGUGCGUGGGCCAGAGGACUGCUUUUUGGAGCAAGUGUUAAAAGGUGUGAGCGGAGAGGGUCUGCGUGGGCCAGAGGACUGCUUUUCGGAGCAAGUGUUAAAAGGUGUGAGCGGAGAGGGUCUGCGUGGGCCAGAGGACUGCUUUUUGGAGCAAGUGUUAAAAGGUGUGAGUGGAGAGGGUCUGUGCGUGGGCCAGAGGACUGCUUUUUGGAGCAAGUGUUAAAAGGUGUGAGCGGAGAGGGUCUGCGUGGGCCAGAGGACUGCUUUUCGGAGCAAGUGUUAAAAGGUGUGAGCAGAGAGGGUCUGUGCGUGGGCCAGAGGACCGCUUUUCACAUCUGGUGUAAAUGGUUUCCUAACGGUUUGACAAAUCUGUGCUCUUGUAAAAUACUUCACUGUUGUAUAUGUGGCAAUAAGGCACUUCAUAUUCUCCUUUAUAUUUUUAUAGAUCCCAAGUCAAUGCUUUUUUUGUUUUGGACAAUAGAUGAGAAAAUAAUUUAAAAAUCCAAAUGUAUAUCUUAAUAAACAAAAAACUUUACAAUCCCA